rnacentral:rRNA from 1 species
AUUGAACGCUGGCGGCAGGCCUAACACAUGCAAGUCGAGCUGUAACACAGGGAGCUUGCUCCUGGGUGACGAGCGGCGGACGGGUGAGUAAUGUCUGGGAAACUGCCUGAUGGCGGGGGAUAACUACUGGAAACGGUAGCUAAUACCGCAUAAUGUCGCAAGACCAAAGAGGGGGACCUUCGGGCCUCUUGCCAGCAGAUGUGCCCAGACGGGAUUAGCUAGGAGGUGGGGUAACGGCUCACCUAGGCGACGAUCCCUAGCUGGUCUGAGAGGAUGACCAGCCACACUGGAACUGAGACACGGUCCAGACUCCUACGGGAGGCAGCAGUGGGGAAUAUUGCACAAUGGGCGCAAGCCUGAUGCAGCCAUGCCGCGUGUAUGAAGAAGGCCUUCGGGUUGUAAAGUACUUUCAGCGGGGAGGAAGGUGUUGAGGUUAAUAACCUCAGCAAUUGACGUUACUCGCAGGAGAAGCACCGGCUAACUCCGUGCCAGCAGCCGCGGUAAUAC